rnacentral:rRNA from 1 species
GACGAACGCUGGCGGCGUGCUUAACACAUGCAAGUCGUACGGUAAGGCCCUUUCGGGGGUACACGAGUGGCGAACGGGUGAGUAACACGUGAGUAACCUGCCCACAACUUUGGGAUAACGCUAGGAAACUGGUGCUAAUACUGGAUAUGUGCUCCUGCUGCAUGGUGGGGGUUGGAAAGCUCCGGCGGUUGUGGAUGGACUCGCGGCCUAUCAGCUUGUUGGUGGGGUAGUGGCCUACCAAGGCGGCGACGGGUAGCCGGCCUGAGAGGGUGACCGGCCACAGUGGGACUGAGAUACGGCCCAGACUCCUACGGGAGGCAGCAGUGGGGAAUAUUGCACAAUGGGCGCAAGCCUGAUGCAGCAACGCCGCGGGCGGGAUGACGGCCUUCGGGUUGUAAACCGCUUUCAGCAGGGACGAAGCUUUUUGUGACGGUACCUGCAGAAGAAGCACCGGCUAACUACGUG